rnacentral:lncRNA from 1 species
CGCCCGGGGCAGCUGGCCGAGCCCUCGAUGCCUCCCGUCUGACGGAGGCGCCCGGGAAGCGCCGCCCACCUCGGCCCCGCACCCUCGCCGGCCUGCCGGGUCUCCGCCAGCCCUAGCAGACAGAGAGGGGCGCCGGUCCCUAGUCCCCCAGACCUCCAUUCAAGGUCAAAACUUUGCCCAGCUCAGCCUUGCUCGACCCUGGGCAGGGAAGCGCGGACAUCGGCAGAGGGAGCCCGAGGCUCUCCGUGCCCUUCGCGCCGCUCCCCAAGGAUGGAUAACACUAACAUAUAGUCAGUGGGAAAGAAAUCUCAGAAAAUAACUGUUAGUUUGUCACUGUCAUGGGAAAUGGGAAGGAAGAAAAACAGCACUUAUCAAGCAUCUUCUGUGUACAAACUGCCAUUUCAGACUCAGAGCAGUCCUUGAAGGUCAAGAACUGUGGAAUCUUUCAGAUGAUAUUCUGAUACUUCUGGACCAAGAUUGAAUUUGUUCUUCAUGAAAAAUGUCUGGGACCUUUUAUGUGGGAGGAGCCAAGAUGGCCGAAUAGGAAAAGCUCCGGUCUACAGCUCCCAGCGUGAGCAACGCAGAAGACGGGUGAUUUCUGCAUUUCCAUCUGAGGGUGUACUCCAUCUACUUUUAAAAACAAAAAGUUCACUGUAAAACAGCCUCAGGUAGGCCGUUCAGUAGGUAUUCCAGAAGAAGGUAUUGUCAUCAUAGGAGAUGGACAGCUCCAAGGGUGUUUAUUGCCCCUGAAGACUUUCUAGUGGAACAAGAUGUGGAGGUGGAAGACACUGAUGUUGGUGAUCCUGACUCAGUGCAGGCCUAAGCUAAUGUGGGUGUUUGUGUCUUAGUUUUUAACUAAAGGUUUAAAAAGUAAAAAUAAAACAUUAAAAAAAAUUUUUGUACACCUGAACAAUGUCUUUGUGUUUUAAGCUAAGUUAUUACAAAAGGGUCAAAAAACUAAAAAAAUUAAAAGUUAACAAGGUAAAGAAGUUACAGUAAGCUAAGGCUAAUUUAUUAUUGAAGAAAAAUAUUUUUUAAAACAAAUUUAGUGUAGGCUGGACACAAUGGCUCACACCUGUAAUCUCAGCACUUUGGGAGGCUGAGACAGGUGGAUCACUUGAGG